GUCUACGGCCACGCCACCCUGAACAAGCCCGAUGUCUGAUCUUAGAAGCUAAGCAGGGUCGGGCCUGGUUAGUACUUGGAUGGGAGACUACCUAGGAAGACCAGGUGCUGUAUUAU
rnacentral:rRNA from 1 species